AUGGCUGGUCAACCUGUGGUGCA
rnacentral:miRNA from 1 species